CAGCCUUCCUACAUAGAACCUAGACACACAUUACCCAAUCCAUGGCCCAUAGCAAACUUCCAGAGCUCAGCAGCAGCAGCUGCUGGGUAGGAGGCCCCCGCCAACACCCAGCACCAGCAGCCCCCACUAGAGUUUUACUGCACCAUAUAAAGGACAUGGAGUGAGAAGAGUAAACAAUGUCUUGCAAUAGGUAACUGAAACCCCACAGAUUACCCACAAUGUGUAGCCCUGCUCCACAAAAGCCACGAUGAACUGAAAGUAGAGAAUCCUGAAUUUGGGGCACAGUUGCAGAAUUCCGAUAUUCUCUCAGCCCUGACACACUUUAGUGGAUUUCACUGCCCUUAGCCACAGGAGCCUCUAAGCUCAUCUUAGGGUUUACUCCUGGUCAGAGAUUAGGUGGGAGUGAGGGGUGGAUUGGGAAGCAGUGAAGGCUCUACAGGGUGACGUAUCUAAGUAUGCAAUUGCCAAAAGCAUAAGUCUCUCAUCAGGCACUAUAGAAACAGUUUUUUCAGCCAGUGCUGCAGACUCCUGCUAGACAGGGUGAAUCCACAUCACCUACAAAAUUCACGAGUCAGUUUUGCACACUGGGCCGUUGAACUCUGAAGCAAACUGGGAAGUUCUAAAAGCAAUAGGA
rnacentral:lncRNA from 1 species